rnacentral:ribozyme from 1 species
AUAUAUGUAUGUAUAUACAUGAUGUGCUUCUGUUCUUCUUACUCUUACCUUAUUCUUUCUUCUUCUUCUUCUUCUUCUUCUUCUUCUUCACCUUCCUAAAAUCACUCAUAAAUUUUUGGCUCGCACUCAUAAAUUUUCAAAAAAUGGCUAUUUUUACGAGUGCAUUUCACUCAUAAAUUUUGAAGAGUAUUCGUGACCCCUGAUGAAAACGAAAGCAAAAAAAAAACACAUA